AUUGAACGCUGGCGGCAGGCCUAACACAUGCAAGUCGAGCGGAUGAAGGGAGCUUUCUCCUGGAUUCAGCGGCGGACGGGUGAGUAAUGCCUAGGAAUCUGCCUCGUAGUGGGGGAUAACGUCCGGAAACGGGCGCUAAUACCGCAUACGUCCUGAGGGAGAAAGUGGGGGAUCUUCGGACCUCACGCUAUCAGAUGAGCCUAGGUCGGAUUAGCUAGUUGGUGGGGUAAAGGCCUACCAAGGCGACGAUCCGUAACUGGUCUGAGAGGAUGAUCAGUCACACUGGAACUGAGACACGGUCCAGACUCCUACGGGAGGCAGCAGUGGGGAAUAUUGGACAAUGGGCGAAAGCCUGAUCCAGCCAUGCCGCGUGUGUGAAGAAGGUCUUCGGAUUGUAAAGCACUUUAAGUUGGGAGGAAGGGCAGUAAGUUAAUACCUUGCUGUUUUGACGGUACCAACAGAAUAAGCACCGGCUAACUUCGUG
rnacentral:rRNA from 1 species